rnacentral:rRNA from 1 species
CCAGACUCCUACGGGAGGCAGCAGUGGGGAAUAUUGGGCAAUGGGCGCAAGCCUGACCCAGCAACGCAGCGUGAAGGAAGAAGGCUUUCGGGUUGUAAACUUCUUUUCUCAGGGACGAAGAAAGUGAAGGUACCUGAGGAAUAAGCCACGACUAACUACGUGCCAGCAGCCGCGGUAAUACGUAGGGAGCAAGCGUUGUCCGGAAUUACUGGGCGUAAAGGGCGCGUAGGUGGGCGCUUAAGUCAGGUGUGAAACCUCCGGGCUCAACCUGGAGACUGCACUUGAAACUGGGUGUCUUGAGGGCAGGAGAGGAAAGUGGAAUUCCUAGUGUAGCUGUGAAAUGCGUAUAUAUUAGGCGGAACACCAGUGGCGAAGGCGACUUUCUGGACUGUACCUGACGCUGAGGCGCGAACGCGUGGGUAGCGCACGGGAUUAGAUACCCCAGUAA